GUGCUUGCUUCAGCAGUACGUAUACUAAAACUGGAAAAAUACAGAGAAGAUUAGCAUGGUCCCUGCACAUGGAUGGCAUGUGAAUUCAUGAAGUAUUCCAUAUUUUU